rnacentral:misc_RNA from 1 species
AAAUUCUCAAAGUAAAUCUUUUGUUAAUUCAAUGGACUUUGCUUUGGACUUGGAGGUCUGCAGAUUCACAGUCUGCUCCUCUUAAAUGCAUUAGCUGGAUCUCAGUGAGCUUGGUUCCACUCGGCGUGAUAAGUAUCACUCGCUGAGGACACCCGUAAAAAAGGUGGCCAGGAUUGCAGGUGAACCGCUUCUAAUGGUCUAUUGGUUUAGACAAUAAAUUUAACG